AAUUUUUCUUUUUCUUUUCUUUUUAUGUUUUUUUGGGGUGUUGUGAAGAGCAUUUUUCUUGUAUUCAGAAAAUACGCAAAAUGCUCACAUUUCGCGUUGUUGUGUGGCAAAGUUAGAUUGGCGUGUAUCUUUCUGCGAAACUGAACACAAGAAAAUCUUGGAGGAUCAAACAUUGAUAGUGCUGUGGGCACUCAAAUCGUUGAAUAAAAACAUCUUUCUUUCUUGCUCCGAAAUUCAAUAUACAACAAAUUUAUUUACUAUAUUCAUGUUGCUUUGUGCACCCCAAUACAAAUAAGAAACAUAGGCGGGGUGAUCACAAAAUUUCAAAUCUUUACAACUGAUGCUUCCUCAGUCAUAGAUCUGGAAAAGAACCUAAUUAAACAUAUUCAUCGUAGUCGAAGAAGUUGCCGGAGAUUGUCCAUGACACUGAUGCUUCCUAAAUCAUAGAUCUGGAAAAGAACCUAAUUAAACAUAUUCACCGUAGUCAAAGAAGUUGUCGGAGAUUGUCCAUGACCCCGGCAUCUGCUUUGCAGCUGUACGAAAAAGGUUGGCAAAGGCAAAUCUUGAUGCGAUAAAGAAGAUUAGGUGACAUAUGAAUCAUUGGAGUCGAAGAAGUCGUCGGAGAUUGUUGGUAGCUCCGAUAUCGACUUCUGCAGCCUCGGCACUGCAGCUGAGCUUUGGCCUUAAUGAAAAAGUGGGCAAAGGCAAGCUGCUUGGUGGGGGAGAAAGUAUGGACACCACUGAACCUGAAAACCUGUCAACCUGAUUUUCCACUGCUUCAAGAGAACAAACACUGUCAGUAGUACUAAUAAUAUUGUUAGUAGACACAAAUUUAGCAACAUGUUUGGGCAAAUCCUUUGGGUUUGGCCCCCAAGGUAAUUUAAUCAGACAUUGUGAGGUGGGACUAUUGGUGGAUUGUUUUGAUUUCUUGAAGGUGUGGGAUGGAUUUUGAUCUCUCGUUCCGUUAUAUUUGGUUUUUCUAUUGACAUUUCUAUGUUUUUGG
rnacentral:lncRNA from 1 species